GGUAACAAAGUGCGGAGCUGGAUGAACACAGCAGGCCAAGCAGCAUCUCAGGACCACAAAAGCUGACAUUUCGGGCCUAGACCCUUCAUCAAAGAGUGAGAGAAGACAGUCCUGUUCAAGGAAUGUCGACCCAGAUGCAAAUCACAAAGCUCAAGACAAGCCGCAACUUGUUGAGUUCACCGAAAAAGGAGCACCUGCAACCUCAUCACGGCCAAAUGCUAAGCUCUUGGAUCAAUCCC